UAUAUGUAUACUUGAGGUUUCUCUUUAACAUCUUAAAAAUCCCUGUUUCUUUCAUUUUGUAUUUUCUGCUAGGUAAUUCUGUUCCACAGGAUAUCUGCUGUAUGGCAGCUGAUGGCAGAUUAGUCUUUGCUGCUUAUGGAAAUGUUUUCUCUGCAUUUGCCCGUAAUAAAGAGAUAGUACAUACCUUUAAGGGUCAUAAGGCAGAAAUCCAUCUCUUGCAACCCUUUGGAGACCACAUUAUCUCUGUUGAUACUGACAGCAUUCUUAUUAUUUGGCACAUAUAUUCAGAAGAAGAAUACCUGCAGUUGACUUUUGAUAAAUCAGUAUUUAAAAUUUCUGCAAUUUUGCAUCCAAGUACCUACUUGAAUAAAAUACUUCUGGGCAGUGAACAAGGAAGCCUGCAGUUGUGGAAUGUAAAAUCCAAUAAACUUCUAUAUACAUUUCCAGGAUGGAAAGUUGGAGUGACAGCUCUUCAGCAGGCACCAGCCGUGGAUGUUGUUGCUAUUGGUCUUAUGUCAGGUCAAGUUAUCAUUCAUAACAUUAAAUUUAAUGAA
rnacentral:sRNA from 1 species